rnacentral:rRNA from 1 species
UGGGGAAUAUUGCACAAUGGGGGAAACCCUGAUGCAGCGACGCCGCGUGAACGAAGAAGGUAUUCGUAUCGUAAAGUUCUGUCCUAUGGGAAGAUAAUGACAGUACCAUAGAAGAAAGCUCCGGCUAAAUACGUGCCAGCAGCCGCGGUAAUACGUAUGGAGCGAGCGUUGUCCGGAAGUAUUGGGCGUAAAGGGUACGCAGGCGGUUUAAUAAGUCGAAUGUUAAAGAUCGGGGCUCAACCCCGCAAAGCAUUGGAAACUGAUAAACUUGAGUAGUGGAGAGGAAAGUGGAAUUCCUAGUGUAGUGGUGAAAUACGUAGAUAUUAGGAGGAAUACCAGUAGCGAAGGCGACUUUCUGGACACAAACUGACGCUGAGGUACGAAAGCGUGGGGAGCAAACAGG